AAGUUCGUGGCUCAAUGGUAGAGCGUUCGACUGUAAUACCAAAAAUCGCGGGUUCGAAUCCCAGGUUUG
rnacentral:tRNA from 1 species